UCAUCUCCGGGGGUAGAGCACUGUUUCGGCAAGGGGGUCAUCCCGACUUACCAACCCGAUGCAAACUGCGAAUACCGGAGAAUGUUAUCACGGGAGACACACGGCGGGUGCUAACGUCCGUCGUGAAGAGGGAAACAACCCAGACCGCCAGCUAAGGUCCCAAAGUCAUGGUUAAGUGGGAAACGAUGUGGGAAGGCCCAGACAGCCAGGAUGUUGGCUUAGAAGCAGCCAUCAUUUAAAGAAAGCGUAAUAGCUCACUGGUCGAGUCGGCCUGCGCGGAAGAUGUAACGGGGCUAAACCAUGCACCGAAGCUGCGGCAGCGACACUAUGUGUUGUUGGGUAGGGGAGCGUUCUGUAAGCCUGUGAAGGUGUGCUGUGAGGCAUGCUGGAGGUAUCAGAAGUGCGAAUGCUGACAUAAGUAACGAUAAAGCGGGUGAAAAGCCCGCUCGCCGGAAGACCAAGGGUUCCUGUCCAACGUUAAUCGGGGCAGGGUGAGUCGACCCCUAAGGCGAGGCCGAAAGGCGUAGUCGAUGGGAAACAGGUUAAUAUUCCUGUACUUGGUGUUACUGCGAAGGGGGGACGGAGAAGGCUAUGUUGGCCGGGCGACGGUUGUCCCGGUUUAAGCGUGUAGGCUGGUUUUCCAGGCAAAUCCGGAAAAUCAAGGCUGAGGCGUGAUGACGAGGCACUACGGUGCUGAAGCAACAAAUGCCCUGCUUCCAGGAAAAG
rnacentral:rRNA from 1 species